CUUUACUGUAGCCUGGUAUUGGGUUCGGGCUUUGGCUGCGCAGGAUAGGUGGGAGACUGAGAAGUGUGCCUUGUGGGGCACAUAGAGUCAACGGUGAGAUACCACUCUGUCAGAGCUAGAAUUCUAACCUUCACCCGUGAUCCGGGGAAGGAACCGUAUCAGGUGGGCAGUUUGACUGGGGCGGUCGCCUCCUAAAAGGUAACGGAGGCGCGCAAAGGUGUUCUCAGGCUGGUUGGAAAUCAGCCGUAGAGGGUAAAGGCAGAAGAACGCUUGACUGUGAGAGUGACAACUCAAGCAGGGUGGAAACACGGCCUUAGUGAUCCGACGGUAUGCGCGUGGAAGUGCCGUCGCUCAACGGAUAGAAGUUA
rnacentral:rRNA from 1 species